rnacentral:lncRNA from 1 species
UUUAAAAAUUUGUGGCGUGACCCUGCCAACCAACCAAGAUGGCCGCCAUGGCUAAAAAUAGAACAUAGGGGUAAAAUGCAGUUUUUGGCUUAUAACUCAAAAACCAAAGCAUUUAGAGCAAAUCUGACAUGGGGUAAAAUUGUUUAUCAGGUCAAGAUCUAUCUGCCCUGAAAUUUUCAGAUAAAUCAGACAACCCGUUGUUGGGUUGCUGCCCCAAAAUUGGUCAUUUUAAGGAAAUUUCACCGUUUUUGGUUAUUAUCUUGAAUAUAAUUAUAGAUAGAGAUAAACUGUAAAUAGCAAUAAUGUUCAGCAAAGUAAGAUCUACAAAAAAGUCAACAUGACCAAAAUGGUCAGUUGACCCCUUAAGGAGUUAUUGCCCUUUAUAGUCAUUUUUUGUCAAUUUUUCGUGAAGUUUUGUUAUCUUGUACAAAAAUCUUCUCCUCUGAAACUACUGAGACAAAUUUAACCAAACUUGUCCACAAUCAUCAUUAGGGUAUCUAGUUUAAAAAAUGUGUGGCGUGACCCGGCCAACCAACCAAGAUGGCCGCCACAGCUAAAAAUAGAACAUAGGGGUAAAAUGCAGUUUUUGGCUUAUGACUCAAAAACCAAAGCAUUUAGAGCUAAUCUGAUAUGGAAUAAAAUUGAUUAUCAGUUCAAGAUCUAUCUGCCCUGAAAUUUUCAGAUGAAUCGGACAACCUGUUGUUGGGUUGCUGCCCCUGAAUUGGUAACUUUAAGGAAAUUUUGCUGUUUUUGGUUAUUAUCUUGAAUAUUAUUAUAGAUAGAGAUAAACUGUAAACAGCAAUAAUGUUGGGCAAAGUAAGAUUUACAAAUAAGUCAACAUGAUUGAAAUGGUCAGUUAACCCCUUUAGGAGUUAUUGCCCUUUAUAGUCAAUUUUUAACCAUUUUUCGUAAAUCUUAUUUAUCUUUUACAAAAAUCUUCUCCUCUGAAACUACUGGGCCAAGUUCAUUAUAAAUAGAGAUAAUUGUAAGCAGUAAGAAUGUUCAGUAAAGUAAGAUGUACAAACACAUCACCAUCACAAAAACACAAUUUUGUCAUGAAUCCAUCUGCGUCCUUUGUUUAAUAUUCACAUAGACCAAGGUGAGCGACACAGGCUCUUUAGAGCCUCUAGUUUUUUUAAUUAAUACACA